rnacentral:rRNA from 1 species
UACAGAGGGUGCGAGCGUUAAUCGGAAUUACUGGGCGUAAAGCGCACGUAGGUGGCGACGUAUGUCGGGCGUGAAAGCCCCGGGCUCAACCUGGGAAUUGCAUCCGAAACUGCGUUGCUGGAGUACGGAAGAGGAAGGCGGAAUUCCCGGUGUAGCGGUGAAAUGCGUAGAUAUCGGGAGGAACAUCAGUGGCGAAGGCGGCCUUCUGGUCCAGUACUGACACUCAAGUGCGAAAGCGUGGGGAGCAAACAGG